CCGCCUGUAGCUCAGUUGGUAGAGCAGCGGCCUUUUAAGCCGACGGUCGGAGGUUCGAGCCCUCCCGGGCGGA
rnacentral:tRNA from 1 species